rnacentral:rRNA from 1 species
GACGGCUACAACAGGUCGCGACGGGGAAACCCCGAGCUAAUCCUCUAAAAGCCGCCUCAGUUCGGAUUGAGGUCUGCAACUCGACCUCAUGAAGUUGGAAUCGCUAGUAAUCGCGGGUCAGCAAACCGCGGUGAAUACGUUCUCAAGUCUUGUACUCAGAAUUAAAAGCGCCGGGCAGGUAAUGAAUCUAGAUUGUUAAAAUCAAUC